GACGAACGCUGGCGGCGUGCUUAACACAUGCAAGUCGAACGGAAAGGCCCUGCUUGCAGGGUGCUCGAGUGGCGAACGGGUGAGUAACACGUGGGUGAUCUGCCCCUUAUUUUGGGAUAAGCCUGGGAAACUGGGUCUAAUACUGGAUAGGACCAUGCUGUAGGUGGUGUGGUGGAAAGAUUAGUUUCGGUAAGGGAUGAGCUCGCGGCCUAUCAGCUUGUUGGUGGGGUAAUGGCCUACCAAGGCGUCGACGGGUAGCCGGCCUGAGAGGGUGGACGGCCACAUUGGGACUGCGAGACGGCCCAGACUCCUACGGGAGGCAGCAGUGGGGAAUAUUGCACAAUGGGCGCAAGCCUGAUGCAGCGACGCCGCGUGGGGGAUGACGGCCUUCGGGUUGUAAACUCCUUUCAGCCAUGACGAAGCCCUUGUGGUGACGGUAGUGGUAGAAGAAGCACCGGCUAACUACGUG
rnacentral:rRNA from 1 species